rnacentral:rRNA from 1 species
AGUGAACGCUGGCGGUAUGCCUAACACAUGCAAGUCGAACGGCAGCACAGUAAGAGCUUGCUCUUACGGGUGGCGAGUGGCGGACGGUUGAGGAAUACAUCGGAAUCUACUUUUUCGUGGGGGAUAACGUAGGGAAACUUACGCUAAUACCGCAUACGACCUACGGGUGAAAGCAGGGGAUCUUCGGACCUUGCGCGAUUGAAUGAGCCGAUGUCGGAUUAGCUAGUUGGCGGGGUAAAGGCCCACCAAGGCGACGAUCCGUAGCUGGUCUGAGAGGAUGAUCAGCCACACUGGAACUGAGACACGGUCCAGACUCCUACGGGAGGCAGCAGUGGGGAAUAUUGGACAAAGGGCGCAAGCCUGAUCCAGCCAUACCGCGUGGGUGAAGAAGGCCUUCGGGUUGUAAAGCCCUUUUGUUGGGAAAGAAAAGCAGCAGGUUAAUACCCCGCUGUUCUGACGGUACCCAAAGAAUAAGCACCGGCUAACUUCGUG